rnacentral:tRNA from 1 species
AGGGCUAUAGCUCAGUGGUAGAGCGCCUCGUUUAACCGAGAAUGUCUACGGUUCGAAUCCGUAUAGCCCUA